rnacentral:lncRNA from 1 species
ACACUUUUAACACCCUAUAUAAUUGAAUCAUGGUUAGCAUGAAUUUUACAACUCAAAACUGAAAGAAAAUUGACAUAAAAAAUUCUCAGUGUCGUUUUCCUCCACAAAAUGCAAGGGAGAUUGUGUAUCUUCACCUUUGGAGUGCUUGUGGGUUACAUAAUUUUACCCAAAAUUAAAGAAAAGUAAACAAAAAAUUAACCAAAAUCAAAAGUUACAUAAAUAUUGGGCAAAACAUUGAAAAUUUGAAGAAAGAUGUUGAAUUUUAUUGAAUAACGACAAAAAUCUAAAAAUACUCAUUGGAUAGUCAAAAUCAUUGAUAAGUGAAGCAAUAAGUGUAUUGAAAAUGCAUAAUAAUCCUUUGUGUUAUAGGACCCCACAUUCAUUUCUUAGGAAAAGAAAUUUUCGUUGUAAGUGGCUGUGCUGAUUUGGAGGACGACAGAAUGUUUAGUCCAUCGAGUCACCUUAUCUUCAACACGUCUCAUUAUCCGGAUCACUUUUGUACUUAUAUAUAUGUGCUCUCUAUCUUUACGUUUAGUUAUUGUUAAAAUAAACUACC